CCUACGGGAGGCUGCAGUGGGGGAUAUUGCACAAUGGGGGAAACCCUGAUGCAGCGACGCCGCGUGAGUGAAGAAGUCUUUCUGUAUGUAAAGCUCUAUCAGCAGGGAAGAAAAUGACAGUACCUGCCCACUAAGCCCCGGCUGACUACGUGCCAGCCGCCGCGGUCAUACGUAGGGGGCAAGCGUUAUCCGGAUUUGCUGGGUGUAACGGGAGCGUAGACGGUUAUGUAAGGCUGGAGUGAAAGCCCGGGGCCCCACCCCGGGACUGCGUUGGAAACUGGGGAACUGGAGUACAGGAGGGGCAGGCGGAAUUCCUGGUGUAGCGGUGAAAUGCGUAGAUAUCAGGAGGAACACCGGCGGCGAAGGCGGCCUGCUGGACUGAAACUGACGUUGAGGCUCGAAAGCGUGGGGAGCAAACAGGAUUAGAUACCCCAGUAGUC
rnacentral:rRNA from 1 species